UACGUAGGGCGCAAGCGUUGUCCGGAAUUACUGGGCGUAAAGGGCUCGUAGGCGGCCAACUAAGUCCGACGUGAAAUCCCAAAGCUUAACUUUGGAACUGCGUCGGAUACUGGAUGGCUUGAAUUCGGGAGAGGGAUGCAGAAUUCCAGGUGUAGCGGUGAAAUGCGUAGAUAUCUGGAGGAACACCGGUGGCGAAGGCGGCAUCCUGGACCAACACUGACGCUGAUGAGCGAAAGCCAGGGGAGCAAACGGG
rnacentral:rRNA from 1 species